UUAACCCAAUUUUGUAUUGAGUUGGAACGUUUGCCUACGUUUGCCGCUAGGGGCGCUCUUUCCAACUGCAUAAAAAUAUGAGUUA
rnacentral:pre_miRNA from 1 species